rnacentral:rRNA from 1 species
GUAGGGAAUAUUGCACAAUGGGCGAAAGCCUGAUGCAGCAACGCCGCGUGCGCGAUGACGGCCUUCGGGUUGUAAAGCGCUUUUCGGGGAGAUGAGGAAGGACAGUAUCCCCGGAAUAAGGCUUGGCUAACUACGUGCCAGCAGUCGCGGUAACACGUAGGAGCCAAGCGUUAUCCGAAUUCACUGGGCGUAAAGCGCGUGUAGGCGGCUUGGUAAGUUGGAUGUGAAAGCUCCUGGCUCAACUGGGAGAGGACGUUCAAUACUGCCUGGCUAGAGGGCGACAGAGGGAGGUGGAAUUCCCGGUGUAGUGGUGAAAUGCGUAGAUAUCGGGAGGAACACCAGUGGCGAAAGCGGCCUCCUGGGUCGCACGUGACGCUCAGACGCGAAAGCUAGGGG